GACGAACGCUGGCGGCGUGCCUAACACAUGCAAGUCGAACGGAAAGGCCCUGCUUUUGUGGGUUGCUCGAGUGGCGAACGGGUGUGUAACACGUGAGUAACCUGCCCUUGACUUUCGGAUAACUUCACGAAACUCGGGCUAAUACCGGAUAGGAGCUCCUGCUGCAUGGUGGGCGUUGGAAAGUUUCGGCGGUUGGGGAUGGACUCGCGGCUUAUCCGCUUGUUGGUGGGGUAGUGGCUUACCAAGGAUUUGACGGGUAGCCGGCCUGAGAGGGUGACCGGCCACAUUGGGACUGAGAUACGGACCAGACUCCUACGGGAGGCAGGGGUGGGGAAUAUUGCACAGUGAGCGGAAGCCUGAUGCAGCAACGCCGCGUGCGGGAUAACGGCCUUCGGGUUGAGAACCGCUUUCGCCGGUGACGAAGAGUGAGUGACGGUAAUGGGUAAAGAAGCAACGGCUAACUACGUG
rnacentral:rRNA from 1 species